rnacentral:rRNA from 1 species
UACGAAGGGGGCUAGCGUUGCUCGGAAUCACUGGGCGUAAAGCGCACGUAGGCGGACUCUUAAGUCGGUGGUGAAAUCCUGGAGCUCAACUCCAGAACUGCCUUCGAUACUGGGAGUCUCGAGUCCGGGAGAGGUGAGUGGAACUGCGAGUGUAGAGGUGAAAUUCGUAGAUAUUCGCAAGAACACCAGUGGCGAAGGCGGCUCACUGGCCCGGUACUGACGCUGAGGUGCGAAAGCGUUGGGAGCAAACAGG